CAGACCCUGACCUUCUAACCACUCACUUUUUUUUUUGGUUCUUUUUUUCAGAGCUGGGGACCGAACCCAGGGCCUUAUGCUUCCUAGGGCUUGAGAGAUGGCUCAGAGGUUAAGAGCACUGUCUGUUCCUCCAGAUGUCUUAAGUUCAAUUCCCAGCAACCACAUGGUAGCUCACAACCAUCUGUAAUGGAAUCUGAUGCCCUCUCCUGGUGUGUCUGAAGACAGCUUACAGUGCACUCACAUAAAAUAAAUAAAUGUCAAAAAGAAAUUAUCUGCCAAAGACAGGUGAGUUCUCCCUUAUGUCUUUGCCUUGGUGAUUUUUUUCUUCCUUUAACUCAUUUCUUGUCCUGCUGUCAUGAGAUAAUAAAAUCAGCCUACUAGAAGAUUGUGGCAUCGGUCAUCAAAACUUCUGCUGGGUAACUCCUUCAUUCUUUGAUGCAAUGGUCAGUGAACACCAAGUAGGUGCUGGAGAUAACAGCACUGGACACAACGGAAAACAGGCCAGAGACGAUAACUUAGUGUGAUGAGUUAGUACUCACCUGAACAAGUAAAACAUGUACUAUAUUAGAUGGGGCAGGCUCUAUAAAGUAAGUGAAGCAGGGCAAGCAAUAGGGCGUUCUCUUUAUUUUUGCUUUUGUUUUGUACUGAGGAGAAUAUAUUUGUAGACACUGCAAGUGAUAUGGGAACAAAGACCUCAAGUUGGGCCCUUUAACCUGUGCCAGUUACUGUUCAACUAGAAAGAAUGGCAUAUGUUUGAUGUAUUUGAUAGGAUAUUGAAAGACCCCCGGAGCCGGGAGACCCUCACUCAAGUCUCGGGAUGACUCGACCCACCAAGAACUCACCAGAGACUGAUCUUGAUGCAAUCAAUAAGAGGUUUAUUGAUAGGGAGGACAGAAACCAGCAUUCUGGGGUCAAGACUCGUAUCUCACGCAGGGGUAGAGGAGUUUGACCUCGAAUGGUUGGGAGAAGGGGUAUUUAAAGGAAAAACCAUACCGAAUCACAAGGAAGAACCUCCUGUUUCUCAUGAUUGUUCUUUAAGAUUUUAAUCUAACUUUAUGGUUCACCAGUUCCUGCUACUAUGGUCAGCUGCUAUUAUGGUCAGCUGCUAUUAUGGUUAGCUAGUUUGUGGAACAAAGUGGCUGAACCAGCUGGUGCAAUUACUCUUUCUGUGAUCAGCUAGUUCCUGGAACAGGCAGUUCCAGGGUCCGACUCUUUUUCUUUCUUUUGUCUUCAACUUUUGUCUAGGGGGCAAUUUUAAACUUUUUCCUUUCAAUAUCAGCAUGACAGGGCAAAGCACUGCAGCAGGAGAAUAGUUGGAAGUAAAAGGAAGAAAAUAGGGUUGACGAAUCAUGUGGGAUUUGUCCUGGUUCAUAUUGAUUACCUACUUAUAGGAUCUAGAACCAUGUAGAAGAUAAACCUCUAGGCAAGUCCAUGAGAUAAUUCUAUAUUGGGUUAACUGAGGUGAAAAGACUGGACCUAUAAAUAUCUAGCAACUUCCCAUGGACUGGGAGAGCUGAGUGAGUAAAAAGGACAGAGUGGAUGAGUACCAGCAUUCCUCUGUGGUCUUGACUGUGGACGUGCUAUGAGUAGUUGCCUCCCAUUCCUGCCACAGUGGGAUGGAAUGAACCAAAAGCUGAGGUAAGCCAUUUGUUCUGUAGGUUGUUCUUCUCAGGGGAUGGAUUACAUCACGGAGAGAAGCAGAACAGGGUCUUAUAAGCUACUGAGGAGACUUUGGCUUUCUCCAUGAUUAGAAACCACUGCAGCAUCUAGGAGCACCGUGGAAGAGAGAUGAAAAAAAUCACUAUUAGCUGAGAAUGUGAAAAUAGCACUUUGGAAAAAAGACUUCAUCUGCUAAAGACAAGAAUAGAUCAAGAAAAUGCGACUAAAUAUCAAGAAUUAUUAAAUUGGGGCUGGAGAGAUGGCUCAGUGGUUGAGAGUAUUGACUGCUCUUCCAGAGGUCCUGAGUUCAAAUCCCAGCAACCACAUGGUGGCUCACAACCAUCUGUAAUGGGAUCUGAUGCCCUCUUCUGAUGUAUCUGAAGACAGCAACAGUGUACUUAUAAUAAAUAAAUAAAUCUUUAAAAAAAUAUUAAA